CCCGCGUCCUCGCGCCCUCACACCUGGCUUCAUCCACCCCAGCCACAGAUGUUUUCUGGGCCUCAGUCCCCCUCAUCCUCUGCUGCUCCUCCCACGGCCCCCCCACCCUGGGGCCCACUCCCUCCCCGCCUUCAGGUCUUGGCUGUGGGGACACUUCUCGGUGAGGCCCCGCUUCCACCCCAUCCCUCAGGGCCCUGCCCUGCGCCAGCCCAGGGGCCCCGCAGGAUGUUCACCACCGCCCAGCGCUUCCCUUCCUCUUUCGCGUUCUGUGUCUGCACUGGAGCGGCCGGCCCGGCAGUCACAGGAGCUGCACGGCAAUGCAUCUGAGACCAUGCGGUGUCACCUUCACAGAAGUGCUCUGGCACAGAGACUCCAGCCUUGCCGGCCUCUCGCCUCCCAAGCACAGAAGCCUCCAGAACGCUGCUUCAAGGACAAGCCCAGGAGACCUGCCAUGCUCAUGCGUGUCUUUGGAAACAGGUUCUCUAAAUUUUGCUUGUGGUUUGUUAAAAAAAAAAAAAAAAUCAGAAGUGUAAUCAAAGACUUCAACAAACGAAGCACCAAAACACUUCAGCUUUGAAAUGUAGAAUUGCAAUGACUGGAAACACGGCUCGCAAAGCAAAAGACAUUAAAAUUCAGUCAUCCCUACAGAAGCCGGACAGGAAUUGAUCACAUCCACUAGUGAAGGCUCAGAAAGUGACAAGAUUUCAUUUGGAAAUCGUACCUGUGUCCUUGGGAACAUCCUGAACCUUGGGAAGCAUCAGCUCAUGGAGUUCCUAUUAACUGGAUAAAUUUAUAUUCUAGAUUGAAAUGGAAUGGAAUUAAGUAGGCCCACGGUUUUGCAGCACGUACAUUUGAAGAAUCAUUAAAAAUCAUCAUAGAAACAAUUUAUUUGACGAGAUUUGUCUUGUACAAAUAUUUGUUAAAUAUUUGUACUCCGAACGGAGGCCAAAAGACAGCACCUGUGGGAAACUUUAGGCUGAAAUAUUUACACAUUUCAACGCAAAAUGUCAGAACUGAGAAUCUGCCGUGUGCUCACAAGGUACCCCAACCCUGCAGAGAGAGACAAUUUUCUUGAUCCAAAUGUCAUCAUCUACCCAGAAGUGUCCAUGGACAGCACAGAUUCACAUUCUGGGGCCGUUAAAAUGUGAAUGUGAGCUAUCAAUGGACACUUCUGGGUAGAUCAUGACCUUUGGAUUAAUUAAGAUUGAUCCAGGCCCGGCGCAGUGGCUCAUGCCUGUAAUCCCAACACUUUGGGAGGCCGAGGUGGGCAUAUCACUAGAGGUCGGGAGUUCGAGUCCAGCCUGGCCAAUUUGGUAAAAACUGUCUCUACUGAAAAUACAAAAAUUAGCUGGGCACGGUGGCAGGUGCCUUUAAUCCCAGCUGCUUGGGAGGCUGAGGCAUGAGAAUCGCUUGAACCCAGGAGGAAGAGGUUGCCGUGAGCCAAGAUUGCGCCACUGCACUCUAGCCUGGGUGACAGAGUGAGACUCCAUCUCAAAACAAACAAACAAACAAACAACCCAAAAAAUUAGC
rnacentral:lncRNA from 10 species